rnacentral:rRNA from 1 species
GCAUAUCAAUAAGCGGAGGAAAAGAAACCAACAGGGAUUGCCCUAGUAACGGCGAGUGAAGCGGCAACAGCUCAAAUUUGAAAUCUGGCGCAAGCCCGAGUUGUAAUUUGUAGAGGAUGCUUCAGGGCAGCGGCCGGUCUAAGUUCCUUGGAACAGGACGUCAUAGAGGGUGAGAAUCCCGUAUGCGACCGGUUGGCACCCGUCACGUAGCUCCUUCGACGAGUCGAGUUGUUUGGGAAUGCAGCUCUAAAUGGGAGGUAAAUUUCUUCUAAAGCUAAAUACCGGCCAGAGACCGAUAGCGCACAAGUAGAGUGAUCGAAAGAUGAAAAGCACUUUGGAAAGAGAGUUAAAAAGCACGUGAAAUUGUUGAAAGGGAAGCGCAUGCAACCAGACUUGUCGGCGGUGUUCCGCCGGUCUUCUGACCGGUCUACUCGCCGCCGGCAGGCCAGCAUCAUCUGGGCGCGCCGGAUAAAGGCGCGGGGAAUGUGGCUCCUCGGAGCGUUAUAGCCCCGCGCACAAUACGGCGCCGCUCGGGUGAGGUCCGCGCUUCGGCUAGGAUGCUGGCGUAAUGGUUGUCUGCGGCCCGUCUUGAAACACGGACCAAGGAGUCUAACAUCUAUGCGAGUGUUCGGGUGUCAAACCCCUACGCGUAAUGAAAGUGAACGGAGGUGGGAAGCGCAAGCUGCACCAUCGACCGAUCCUGAUGUCUUCGGAUGGAUUUGAGUAAGAGCAUAGCUGUUGGGACCCGAAAGAUGGUGAACUAUGCCUGAAUAGGGUGAAGCCAGAGGAAACUCUGGUGGAGGCUCGCAGCGGUUCUGACGUGCAAAUCGAUCGUCAAAUUUGGGUAUAGGGGCGAAAGACUAAUCGAACCAUCUAGUAGCUGGUUCCUGCGA